rnacentral:rRNA from 1 species
GGGGAAAGAAGACCUGUUGAGUUUGACUCUAAUCUGGCAAUGUAAGGAGACCUAAAAGGUGUAGCAUAAGUGGGAGAUAUUAAAUGUUCGAUAUUAGAUAUCAACAACGAAAUCCACUACUCUUAUUGUUUCCUUACUUACUUGAUUAAAUGGAAGGUGUAUUAUAUAGAUAGCCAUUCUUAAAAUGUGUUUAUAUGUAUUCAUGGUAUGUUGUUUGGAUACGAGUUUCUUGUAUAAAAUAUUAUGAUUGGUUAUACAUACCAAACAAAUUAUAAUGAAAUUAUAAUUUAGCUUUUAUGUGAAUUUUAAAAUAUUAGUUUAAUUCGGUAUAACUCUUAUAACUUAGAUAUGAUCCAAUUCAAGGACAUUUCCAGGUAGGGAGUUUGACUGGGGCGGUACAUCUCUCAAAUAAUAACGGAGGUGUCCCAAGGCCAGCUCAGUGCGGACAGAAACCACACAUAGAGCAAAAGGGCAAAUGCUGACUUGAUCUCGGUAUUCAGUACAUACAGAGACAGCAAAAGCUCGGCCUAUCGAUCCUUUUGGUUUAAAGAGUUUUUAACAAGAGGUGUCAGAAAAAUUACCACAGGGAUAACUGGCUUGUGGCGGCCAACCGUUCAUAGCGACGUCGCUUUUUGAUCCUUCGAUGUCGGCUCUUCCUAUCAUUGUGAAGCAAAAUUCACCAAGCGUUGGAUUGUUCACCCAUACAAGGGAACGUGAGCUGGGUUUAGACCGUCGCGAGACAGGUUAGUUUUACCCUACUGAUGACAAAUAUAGUUAUUACAACAGCAUUCCUGCGUAGUACGAGAGGAACCGCAGGUACGGACAAUUGGUACAAUACUUGUUCGAGAGAACAGUGGUAUG